CCUACGGGGGGCAGCAGUGAGGAAUAUUGGUCAAUGGGCGGGAGCCUGAACCAGCCAAGCCGCGUGAGGGAAGAAGGUACAGCGUAUCGUAAACCUCUUUUGUCAGGGAACAAAGGCGGGGACGUGUCCCCGGAUGAGUGUACCUGAAGAAAAAGCAUCGGCUAACUCCGUGCCAGCAGCCGCGGUAAUACGGAGGAUGCGAGCGUUAUCCGGAUUUAUUGGGUUUAAAGGGUGCGCAGGCGGUCUGUUAAGUCAGCGGUCAAAGCCCGGGGCUCAACCCCGGCCCGCCGUUGAAACUGGCAGUCUCGAGUUGGAGAGAAGUAUGCGGAAUGCGCGGUGUAGCGGUGAAAUGCAUAGAUAUCGCGCAGAACUCCGAUUGCGAAGGCAGCAUGCCGGCUCCACACUGACGCUGAGGCACGAAAGCGUGGGUAUCGAACAGGAUUAGAUACCCCAGUAGUC
rnacentral:rRNA from 1 species